CCUUCAUAUUUAUAGGAAAUACCUAAAAUUGAAACCAUUUUCAGGCAGCAAGUCCUCUUCAUGUAUGGAAAGGUUAUGAAAAGCAAAGAUUGCAGAAUUCCAGCCCUAUUAGGUCAACCUACCUCAGACAUUAUAACCCAAGGAACUCCUCCCAUGCCCAAUGAGAAUGAUCCUAUAUAUAUCUGAGUACACAAUUCAACAGAUCAAUAUAUAUAUACAAGGCAUUUCCUCUAAAAAUAUGUAAUUAGAUGAAGUUUGAAAUGAGGCAAUGGUAAACAAGCUUGAGGCAACAUUUCAAUGUUACAGCCAAUAUCAUUAUAAAGUUAGCAACAAAAAUAAGGAACAACAAACACCGGGUAAUGAAUGGAUUGAUCCAAUCGGUAAAGUGGUAUUUUUCUGAGAAAGAAAGUCAAUACCAUUUAAAGAAUGGAAAAGACUUUCCAAAAACAUUACCAAAUCAUGCAGUAGUUUUUUCUGCCAAUUCUAAUCCAGUCAAAACAUGAUAACAGAACAUUUCAUCAAAAAGAUUCAUUUAGUUCCAUAUGAAGAACACAAUGUAUGAAAACGGAUACACUAUCUCCUUGUUUGAAAACUAGAAUUUUACAAGAAUUCAGUUCAAUUCAAUUAAUUUCUUAAUUCUUAUGUUUAGAAUGUAAGAAUUUAAUUCUUUUUAACUUA
rnacentral:misc_RNA from 1 species